ACUCAAAUGAAUUGACGGGGACUCGCACAAGCGGUGGAACGCGCGGCUUAAUUCGUCGAUCCGCGAAAAACCUUACCAGGGCUAGAAACCAAGCUGCACGCUCCCAGAAACGGGAGAAUCCUUCGAGGGUGCUUGGCAGGUGAUGCAUGGUUGUCGUCAGUUCGUGGCUUGAGCUGUUCCCUUCAGUGGGGUAACGAACGCAACCCCCGUUGUCUGUUAUUUUUUCAGGCGAGACUGCCCCCUCACGGGGGAGGAAGGUGGGGAUGACGCCAAAUCAGCAUGUCCCUUGAUGCCCUGGGCUGCACGCACGUUACAAUGGGUGGAAACAGAAGGAUGCAAUACGGCAACGUGGAGCAAAUCCCUAAAAUCACCCCCAGUACGGAUUGAGGUCUGCAACCGACCUCAUGAAGCCGGAAUCGCUAGUAAUCGUAGAUCAGCACGCUACGGUGAAUACGUUCUCGAGUCUUGUACACACCGCCCGU
rnacentral:rRNA from 1 species